AUUGAACGCUGGCGGCAGGCCUAACACAUGCAAGUCGAGCGGAUGAGAGGAGCUUGCUUCUCGAUUCAGCGGCGGACGGGUGAGUAAUGCCUAGGAAUCUGCCUGGUAGUGGGGGACAACGUUUCGAAAGGAACGCUAAUACCGCAUACGUCCUACGGGAGAAAGCAGGGGACCUUCGGGCCUUGCGCUAUCAGAUGAGCCUAGGUCGGAUGAGCUAGUUGGUGAGGUAAUGGCUCACCAAGGCGACGAUCCGUAACUGGUCUGAGAGGAUGAUCAGUCACACUGGAACUGAGAAACGGUCCCGACUACGACGGGAGGCAGCAGUGGGGAAUAUUGGAGGAUGGGCGAAAGCCUGAUCCAGCCAUGCCGCGUGUGUGAAGAAGGUCUUCGGAUUGUAAAGCACUUUAAGUUGGGAGGAAGGGUUGUAGAUUAAUACUCUGCAAUUUUGACGUUACCGACAGAAUAAGCACCGGCUAACUCUGUGCCAGCCGCCGCGGUAAAAC
rnacentral:rRNA from 1 species